rnacentral:misc_RNA from 1 species
GGUGAAUCAUCGAAUCUUUGAACGCACAUUGCGCCCUCUGGUAUUCCGGGGGGCAUGCCUGUCCGAGCGUCAUUACACCAAUCAAGCACGGCUUGUGAGUUGGGCCACCGUCCCCUAAGAAGGACGGGCCCGAAACGCAGUGGCGGCGUCGCGGUUUCUCGAUCAGCCAGAGUGUAUGGGGAUUUCAUUCACACGCUCACGGCCGGGACCGGCGCCAGUCGAUAACCAAACUAUUUAUCAAGGUUGACCUCGGAUCAGGUAGGGAUACCCGCUGAACUUAAGCAUAUCAAUAAGCGGAGG